rnacentral:lncRNA from 1 species
GAAAGUUAAACAUAACAACAUGAACUGAAUUAACCAGUGCACACGACUAGAAAAAAAACAAACAUCAUUUGACAUCGAGUUUCUAAUUAAAUCAUGGCUGCAACUGGGCAGCGUUAUUAUAAUAGUGAAGGUGGACGUGUUGCUACUUCCCUCAUUCCCAACAUGAAUCAAAUACCUGCAUUGAGUAAUGCAAGAGUGAGAUGAUACAUCUCAGCAAGCAAAUUAUUUUGACGAGAUAUUUAAACCACAAAUUGAAUUAAACAACAUUUUAAAGGAAUCCCAAUUGAGAUCAGAAAUACUUGUAGAUAUAGAACUCAAUAGUCCCAAUAUAACCAAUACCAUCUCAUUUCCUCGAACAACCACAAUAGGUUGUAUAACCCUUCCCUGCGUCAACAAUACCUGCAGAUAUCACUUCAAUGUAUGCAUAGGAAUGCAAUGUGUAGGUCAUCUGCCCUCAUACCUCUGAGAGUAUAAAACCACAUCAUCUGCUAAUAUCACUUCAAUGAAUGCAUAUAAAUGCAAUGCAUAUGUCCUCUGCCUUCAUACAUCUAAGGGUAUGAAGCCGCAUCGUACCCCUCCUCGGGCAACGUACGAUGCUAAGUUGUACCGAUACGGUCGGACCAUAGGUCACGACCAAACUUCAGAUGCAAAUGAAUAAUGUAAUGCAUAUGGCAUGCUACAUUUAUCAAUAUACUUCACUUCCUUCAGAUACAAAACAAUCCUCAAAUAAUACUUCAUCUGCCUUCAGAUACAAUACAAAUCUCAAAUAAUACUUUAUCUGCCUUCAGGGGUGUAAAUUAAUCUCAUGGGUCAUACUCGAACCAUAAUCAUCAUCAAUAUAUGAUUGAGCAUCAGUAUAAUACAAGCAAGUAAAGCAUCACCAUAGAGUUCAAUUAUGAAAGAAUUCCAUAAUUCUGAAUAUUAGAGCGUAGGCGAUAAAAAAACAACAAGUCAAAACGGUAGCAACCACGGCUACAUUCACUUGCCUUCAUCGAAGAAGAAAGAUGUACUAGGCAUGAUCCGGAGUGUAGCCACCAAUUCUUGGAGAGGAACGACGAUGAUGGGCGACGGUAUGCCCUCAUCUCCCCUCUCUUCUCUUCUUUUUUCUUCCUCUCUUCUCUUGGGGCAAGGCACAAAAGGGUGACGGCUGCUAGGGGUGGGAGGACGUGGCUUCUAGGGUUAGGGAGGUAUAAAUAGAAGAAAACUUCCACAAUCCUAAUAUCCAAUGGCUCAGAUCAACCGGCACUCAAAAAGACUCAUCCGGACUCCAAACAAGGCAAACUAGUGAUUGAUCGGAAUCAUCUUGAUGAGAUCAAUACAUCUACGGCCUCCGAUCAUCCAUAGGACAUACCAUAUUUGGAUUAUAAAAAUGGUUUAUUUUUAGGGUGUUACAUUCUACCCCCCUUAAAAAGAAUUCGUCCUCGAAUUCGACCACUCCAAGCAAAACAUCCAAGGUACCCCAAAUACCACCACCAUUCAAAACAUGAGUCCAUUAUUGGUAUUAAUCAACACAAGAACUUCUACCUCGGACUAAUGGUCUAAGGAAGCUACACAACCUGACAACAAGCAUGAAACAACCUGCAAUGAAGCUCAAAGCAAGUCAUAGAUGCGAUCAACACUAUGAUUUCACAACAUCGAAUUUGGAUGCAGCCAUACAUCAGCAUCAAUGUCUUAAAACCACACUCUUUUAUGAAGGGGUAAUAUGCACUAAGCACAACCCUUACCAACUUCAACAAUUCAUUUUAAUUCAAUGGUAAAACAUCCACACCAGAUGAACGUAUAUGAAGAUCAAACACCUCACUUCACAGCACCACAAAACAAGUAGUUCUAUUGAAACAAAACUCCUAAUCUUCCUAAACCCUGUUCUUGCCAUCAUGAAAAGAUAAUCAUGUAAUCUAACAGUCUUUGCACCCCACAAAAGGGAGAAAGUCUACAGAACUAAUGGAGCAAUAAAGCCGACAAGAAGCCCAUAACAUUCUGCGCGACACAUUUCAUCGAAGAAAUGCCAAAAACUCCACAAAGAGCAUUGAUAGCACAACAACAACACAAUACUUGCUUAACCAAUGUCGCUAUACUUCAUCCAACAACUCAACUAAGAAAAUUAACCAAACUAGUAAGGUUAACCUACAAAUAAUAUAAGUCUUCAUCUACUGUAGUUCAGAAACAUACAUUUCAUUCUAUCAUAUGAUGCACUCAAAGUACCAGAUAUACGAGGUCAAUAAUAACCCCGUAAUCCUUCACACAUUUGACAAACAUCUCAAGUUGUUGUAAAAACCACAUCAUUUAGGAAUAGGUGACUAACCACACACAACCAACUCUAGGUUAGGCAAUGACUUCAUUCAAACCAAUAGAUAGGUGGUCCAACAAUGGCUCCACCAGCAUGCAUCGGGGAGAGAACCAUCUGAUCCUCAACGUAUUAAUACAUAAUCAAUGGAUCAAGAAAAACAGAGAUUUAUUCUACAACUAGCAUGACUAACAUGCAACCACUUUAAACCACCUCUAGGCUUUGUGGCUACUAAAACACACAAUAGAAGAGAGACAUGUAAGCCAUUCUGGCUAUGUAAAGACUUCCCCAAAAUUCAUAUAAAAGUAUCAAUAUUCAUUUCUUUCAGAACUGGUUUCUCGACAUAAACAAUCAUUCUUUGCAAAAAUAGUUGGAACUAUCCACCAACCACUCAACAACUUAAAUUCAAAGUGAUCGUUACCUUGUAAUCCAAAACACGCAAUUCACACUCCUCUUAGGAACAUCCACAAUCAAGCAUAUAUAACAAUAUUAUUGCAAUAAAACUCAACCACGAAAAACAUGAUGAAAACAACAUAGGCAUACUUGUAUAUCACAAGCAUAAUAACAACUUCGAUCUUACCAAAGACCAGCGAUAUCAAUCGCAUUAAUAAAACAAUAUAAAGAUUUAGAGAUAAAACAUAUUAGGCAUUAAGUCAUAAACAACUUACCACAUCACCGUAAAGGAAUAGGGAGGGGUGAAAUUAUUGUCAUCUGCACUUCAAAGACACUAAUAUAUAUCAAAGAUAUUUGAACCCAUACCCUUCCUAUAUGUGCAAGUUUAUCUUCAAAUUGCCAAGAAUCUAAAGCCUAUGCUUUGAUACCAACUGUAACACCCCAGAGUCCACAAACACCCCGGAAUGCUACUGAACUACACAUCUGACAUCCAUAUAUAAAAUUUCGGCAGCAUCUCCUUUGAAAGAUUGCAUAAACGAGGGGCAACAGUGUAUAAACAUAUAUCAUGACAAAAAACAUACUAAGAAUUAUUAAUAUGCUAGCAAAGGAAAGUUAAACAUAACAACAUGAACUGAAUUAACCAGUGCACACGACUAGAAAAAAACAAACAUCAUUUGACAUCGAGUUUCUAAUUAAAUCAUGGCUGCAACUGGGCAGCGUUAUUAUAAUAGUGAAGGUGGACGUGCUGCUACUUCCCUCAUUCCCAACAUGAAUCAAAUACCUGCAUUGAGUAAUGCAAGAGUGAGAUGAUACAUCUCAGCAAGCAAAUUAUUUUGACGAGAUAUUUAAACCACAAAUUGAAUUAAACAACAUUUUAAAGGAAUCCCAAUUGAGAUCAGAAAUACUUGUAGAUAUAGAACUCAAUAGUCCCAAUAUAACCAAUACCAUCUCAUUUCCUCGAACAACCACAAUAGGUUGUAUAACCCUUCCCUGCGUCAACAAUACCUGCAGAUAUCACUUCAAUGUAUGCAUAGGAAUGCAAUGUGUAGGUCAUCUGCCCUCAUACCUCUGAGAGUAUAAAACCACAUCAUUUGCUAAUAUCACUUCAAUGAAUGCAUAUAAAUGCAAUGCAUAUGUCCUCUGCCUUCAUACCUCUAAGGGUAUGAAGCCGCAUCGUACCCCUCCUCGGGCAACGUACGAUGCUAAGUUGUACCGGUACGGUCGGACCAUAGGUCACGACCAAACUUCAGAUGCAAAUGAAUAAUGUAAUGCAUAUGGCAUGCUGCAUUUAUCAAUAUACUUCACUUCCUUCAGAUACAAAACAAUCCUCAAAUAAUACUUCAUCUGCCUUCAGAUACAAUACAAAUCUCAAAUAAUACUUUAUCUGCCUUCAGGGGUGUAAAUUAAUCUCAUGGGUCAUACUCGAACCAUAAUCAUCAUCAAUAUAUGAUUGAGCAUCAGUAUAAUACAAGCAAGUAAAGCAUCACCAUAGAGUUCAAUUAUGAAAGAAUUCCAUAAUUCUGAAUAUUAGAGCGUAGGCGAUAAAAAAACAACAAGUCAAAACGGUAGCAACCACUGCUACAUUCACUUGCCUUCAUCGAAGAAGAAAGAUGUACUAGGCAUGAUCCGGAGUGUAGCCACCAAUUCUUGGAGAGGAACGACGAUGAUGGGCGACGGUAUGCCCUCAUCUCCCCUCUCUUCUCUUCUUUUUUCUUCCUCUCUUCUCUUGGGGCAAGGCACAAAAGGGUGACGACUGCUAGG